AGGAAUCUGCCUGGUAGUGGGGGACGAACGUUUCGUAAAGGAACGCUAAUACCGCAUACGUCCUACGGGAGAAAGCAGGGACCUUCGGGCCUUGCGCUAUCAGAUGAGCCUAGGUCGGAUUAGCUAGUUGGUGAGGUAAUGGCUCACCAAGGCGAGAUCCGUAACUGGUCUGAGAGGAUGAUCAGUCACACUGGAACUGAGACACGGUCCAGACUCCUACGGGAGGCAACAGCG
rnacentral:rRNA from 1 species